UAAUCUGAAACAAAAUUACUCUUUCUCUAGCAUCAUCUUCCUUCAUUAAACUCUAAAAAAACAUCAUCAAUUCAUUACACAGAUCAAUAUAUCACUUUAUUACAGAACUCAAAAACUAUCCCUCUCUCUAAUCUCUCGCUCUUCUCUUUCUAUACGGAACCAAGCCACCACCGGAACAUCAUUACACUGAACCACAACCUUCACGAACUACCAAACCAGGCUAACAAAGGCAGCCGUUGAACUAUGGUGUUGACGGUGGUGGCCGCCGAUAGCAGGUCUCCCAGAGAUGGAAAGCAUAUCGAAGUUUUGGGCUACUAUAACCCUUUGCGAGGUCAGGAUGGUGGUAAACGAAUGGGGCUUAAUAUCGGGGUGAAGUAAGUUGUUCGCUACACUUAUCGUCAUUCGAUAUGAUAUGAAUCAGAGAAAAUUUUUGAGAUUUCAAGGAAGGAAGAUGAUGAUAGAGAAAGAGUGGAUGUAAUUUUGUUUCAGAUUAAAGAGAGAGAGAUUAUAAUUGUUUCUUUAUUUUUUAAGUUUUUUAUAAAUAGUCCCUGAAUAAGAAUUCUUUACAAAA